rnacentral:lncRNA from 1 species
CGGGCACUAGUUCACCCGAAACACAUGUCUUUGGACUGUGGUACAAAACAAAAAGAGUAAGAAAGCUGUCCGCACGCUGGAACUCGAGUCGAGUGCUGGACGAACCUACGUCCGAGAGCGCAGCGACGUGCGUUCUCUUAUGAACGGAACCACUCGUGUCUUAUUUAUGACACUACAUACAUGUAGCCUGGCCAGUUGGGAAGGUGAGGUUCACACCCGCGUGUGAGAAGAAUCGGCCAAACAACCGAGGUACUGAGCAGCUGCACUUGGUCUCAGAAGAUGUGAACAUUUAAAUGGAAAAGAAGAGUGGGCCCAGCUGCUGGGAAGGACACAAAGUGCAGGAGAGAGAAGGCCAACAAUGAGCUUUCCCUUCACAUCCGACAAAAGAAGCGAAGAACUUGUUUGAAUUUCUGGGCACGCGCGGAGGGACGGACUCCAGGGCGACCGGCCCCCCAGAACGGGCUCGUUCCCAUCCUGAGCUCCGCUCCACUCCACUCUAUUCCACUCCACUCCACUCCGCUGUUCGGUGCUGAACACAAACGUGCCGUGACAAGUUUGCAAGUUUUUUUUUUUUUUUUUUCCUCUCUCUCUUCCCACCUUCUUUCUCCAUCUCUUCUCUUUGACUCGCUCCCUUCCUCCUCCUCUUCCUCCUCCUCCUCCUCGUCGCCUCUUCUGGUUGGAAUAUCUUCUGCACAAGUUCUCCGCGCAUUAGCGGCACUUUGGAAACGGCGGCGAGACCGUGGAUCACUGGAUAUGUGACAGGCGCCCUGAAAACACACCUUGCACUUUUUCGAAGAACUGCCGUCUUGGAUGAUUUGGGACGUGACUUAGGACGUCUGGGCUCCGGCACCUUCGCUCCGACUGUGUAAGUGUCCCUUUACCUGUGCGCUCUGCGCGCUGUUCCUUAACCACGUCCGGUAAAGAGUCCCGCGCUUCCCCGAACUGUCAGGCGUCGAGGAUUGUGCAGCAAUAACAGCGCGAAUGUUGUGCUCAGGUCUCCCAGUCCGGCGCUGUUUUGCGAGCGCAGACUCACCUGGUAACUGUGUUACGCCACCGACCCCCCAGGGUCACUGAGAGAUGCUCAGCAGGCCACGGCACCAAUUGUCACUCGGUCAUUUAAGGUGGGCGGCUGCAGUACUACCUGAAACUUACCCC